rnacentral:rRNA from 1 species
CAAUGGGUUAUCGCCUGNUCCANCCAUCCCGCGUGAUGGANGACGGCCCUAUGGGUUGUAAACUUCUUUUGUACGGGGAUAAACCUACUCUCGUGANANUAGCUGAAGGUACCGUACGAAUAAGCACCGGCUAACUCCGUGCCAGCAGCCGCGGGUAAUA